UUCGGAUUGUAGUCUGCAACUCGACUACAUGAAGCUGGAAUCGCUAGUAAUCGCAGAUCAGAAUGCUGCGGUGAAUACGUUCCCGGGUCUUGUACACACCGCCCGUCACACCAUGGGAGUCGGAAAUGCCCGAAGCCGGUGACCCAACCAAAAGGAGGGAGCCGUCGAAGGCAGGUCUGAUAACUGGGGUGAAGUCGUAACAAGGUAGC
rnacentral:rRNA from 1 species